rnacentral:rRNA from 1 species
AGAGUUUGAUCCUGGCUCAGAAUGAACGCCGCGGCGUGCUUAACACAUGCAAUCGAACGAGAAAGCUUUAGCUUGCUAGAGCGAGUAAAGUGGCGCACGGGUGAGUAACGCGUGGGUAAUCUGCCUUCGAAUUUGGGAUAACACCCCGAAAGGGGUGCUAAUACCGGAUAAUAUCUUUUUCAUUGCGGUGGAGAAGAUCAAAGACAGCCUCUACAUGUAAGCUGUUGUUUGAAGAUGAGCCCGCGUACCAUUAGCUUGUUGGUGGGGUAAUGGCCUACCAAGGCGACGAUGGUUAGCUGGUCUGAGAGGAUGAUCAGCCACACUGGAACCGGAACACCGUCCAGACUCCUACGGGAGGCAGCAGUGAGGAAUUUUGCGCAAUGGGCGAAAGCCUGACGCAGCAACGCCGCGUGAGUGAUGAAGGAUUUCGGUUCGUAAAGCUCUGUCAAGUGGGAAGAAGUUAUCAUAAGUUAAUAGCGUAUGGUAUUGACGGUACCACUGAAGGAAGCACCGGCUAACUCCGUGCCAGCAGCCGCGGUAUACGGAGGGUGCAAGCGUUAUUCGGAUUUACUGGGCGUAAAGGGCGCGUAGCGGCCGAAUAAGUCAGAUGUGAAAGCCCGGGCUCAACCCCGAAGUGCAUUUGAAAUUAUUUG